UUCCUGUAUGAUCACCAAAGUUAAGCAACAUCAAGCCUGGUCAGUACCUUGAUGAGUGACUGCUUGGGAAUACCAGGUGCUGUAA